AACGAACGCUGGCGGCAGGCUUAACACAUGCAAGUCGAACGCCCCGCCAGGGGAGUGGCAGACGGGUGAGUAACGCGUGGGAACAUACCCUUUUCUACGGAAUAGCUCUGGGAAACUGGAAUUAAUACCGUAUACGCCCUACGGGGGAAAGAUUUAUCGGGGAAGGAUUGGCCCGCGUUGGAUUAGCUAGUUGGUGGGGUAAAGGCCUACCAAGGCGACGAUCCAUAGCUGGUCUGAGAGGAUGAUCAGCCACAUUGGGACUGAGACACGGCCCAAACUCCUACGGGAGGCAGCAGUGGGGAAUAUUGGACAUGGGCGCAAGCCUGAUCCAGCCAUGCCGCGUGAGUGAUGAAGGCCUUAGGGUUGUAAAGCUCUUUCACCGAUGAAGAUAAUGACGGUAGUCGGAGAAGAAGCCCCGGCUAACUUCGUG
rnacentral:rRNA from 1 species